GGAGAGGUGGGUGAGUGGCUGAAACCACCGGUUUGCUAAACCGGCGUACGUCGAACAGACGUACCGAGGGUUCGAAUCCCUCCCUCUCCG
rnacentral:tRNA from 1 species